rnacentral:rRNA from 1 species
ACAAGCGGUGGAGCAUGUGGUUUAAUUCGACGAUACGCGAAGAACCUUACCUGGCCUUGACAUACUAAAAAGCUUUAAGAGAUUAGAGUGUGCUAGCUUGCUAGAAUUUAGAUACAGGUGCUGCACGGCUGUCGUCAGCUCGUGUCGUGAGAUGUUGGGUUAAGUCCCGCAACGAGCGCAACCCUCGUGUUUAGUUGCUAACAGUUCGGCUGAGAACUCUAAACAGACUGCCUACGCAAGUAGGAGGAAGGUGAGGACGACGUCAAGUCAUCAUGGCCCUUACGGCCAGGGCUACACACGUGCUACAAUGGGGUAUACAAAGAGCAGCGAUACGGUGACGUGGAGCAAAUCUAGAAAAUGCCUCUCAGUUCGGAUUGUAGUCUGCAACUCGACUACAUGAAGUUGGAAUCGCUAGUAAUCGUAGAUCAGCAAUGCUACGGUGAAUACGUUCCCGGGUCUU